AUCACUUCCAGCAAUAUCAGCAGCCAUUAUCACAUUAAUAAUUUUUUGUAAGUUAUGUCGGGCCUUGGUGUUUUGAAGCUAGAAGUUUGAGGCUAUUUUUUGAAUGGCAUCCACUGAUGGAUAAUCUGUUUACCUAAAAACAGCCCACUAUGAUCCAUGUUUACCAGCUGUGAAAGUGCAGGCCAAAAAUUAUCCUUCACCUGUGAGCCUCUUCCCACAUGUAGAUAAGCACUUCAAACCAGCAUGUGAUCUGCUAGGAUGCACAGAUUCAAUUCUGGCCCAUUGUCAUCCCCACACCUCAUCUGCCAUCAGUUUAGUUUAAUGUCGGUCUAUUGCAAAAGUUCUUAUAAACUUUAAAUAAGACUUUGUGUAAAGAAAGGGUUUCCAAACCUUUCAUUCCACAACAUAUUAAGCCCAGGAUACACGGCUGUGUGACAAGGAUUGUUUAAACUUAAGCAUGUAGACUGUUGAUGAAGACACCUGUUGAAUCGGGGGCUGCGACACACGUCAUCAGCAUGCGCUAGUGGUAGACAAAUACAGGUGUCUUUGGGCCCAGGACUGGGAAAACGGACGUCUAUAAACCUCUCUCACUGUAUGACAUAGGACCACCAAUUAAAAUAAAUGAUCACAGAAAUCUUCACGAUUGGUAAUCUUUCAUCUGGGACAGCCAAAAAUCUUGCUGUGUAUUACAGGCUUUAGACAGGUGUAAUCUUACAGUAUAUCAAAACCAUUGCCAUUGCUAAUAAUUAAUUGGGCAAACCAUCACUCAAUGCAACACUCACUAUCUUAUGGUGUGCCCCAAAGUGGGUCCUCACCCACAGUUUAAAAACCCCGGUGUAAGAGUAUGUUGUAUUAUAAUUAAAGUCACAUCUGUGUUAUGUAACAGUUUUUCAUUAUAUUCAGUGUAACAUGAUUCUUUCAACAGUUACUACGUUACAGUGCUCUUAAAGUGUCCUGGUCAGUUUUGGGUCUUGUGAAGUAAUGUAAUGAGAAUGUGAUCAAUAGCUUUGCAGUAUUUUUGUUACACUGUGGCUGUAAUCGUAUUAU